CUCUCUCUGUCGUUUCACCUCCCCGGUCUCUCGCAAAUGCUCGCAUAGAAUCGGAGUUACAGCUGGAUGUGGAAAAAAUAACUGAGUUGUUUGGUGGUGCUAUAACGCGGAGCUACAACAGUGGGCAGCUAUCCACCGGUGUAUGACAGAAAGGACAUGCCGCGACCGCCGAUCGACAGGUGUUUGCUAACGCGGAGGUCAAUCGUGGAUCAGGGAAAGCGAAGGCAGGAGCGUGAGGUGAACUGAAUUUCAGUCGCUGACGCGGAGCUACAACCGAGGGCAGCUAUCCACCGGUGUGUGUCAGAAAGAACAUGCGGGAACGAGGCGGCGAGGGCGACCGCCGAUCGACCGGUGGUAGAUCAUGGAUCAGGGAAACCGAAGGCAGGAGAAGCAGGCGGCUGCCGGUCGGAGCGUGAGGUGAACUGAAUUUCAGGCGAUCCUGCUCAUCACGGCCUCGUCUGAGAUGACAGCUGAACAGCCGACACCGACAGAGGAGAUAACUUCUGUACACAGCACGAAGGUGAAAAGCCCAAAUGUUAAACAUCUGAAAAAAUGCCGCGUGACACAAGCAGGAUGUCGACAACACCACUCAAAAGCACAGCAGAGGUCACACACAAAGCCACAGCCCUACAGACCCAAAGCUCGUAGAGGGAGUCUGGCUCCAAUUUUGCUACAGUAAAGGAAUGAAGUGAAGGAGUGACCACAUCUAGUGGUGAGUCUCCUGCUUUGUUUCUUCUGAAGAAGAUGAAAUAAAAAGAAAAACAGAAACGAAGAUCUUUAAAGAAACUUUUCUUUGCUGUUUGGCAUUGCGUUACAUUUCAGUGCAAUGCAAAUCAUAUGCAGUACUAACUAUAAAAAUCACAAUAUUUCUCAGAUCAGUGGUAUAUAAGAAAUAUGUGUAUGACAUAAAAAGGUUAUUAAGGCACUACAUAAAUGAAUGUAUCUGAUACAAUUAUAAUUUGAUGUUUAUGUUUAUAAGUCAGUUUUUAAUAUGGCCUUAUUCAUUUUACUGGUUUUGAUGGAAUGAAGAACAAGUUUUCAGUCUUCUAUUGUUGUAACUUUGCACUGUAACUGCUAUUGUUUCAUGAAUUUCAGUUUCAAAUAAAGUCACCCAGAGUUAAAGCAUAAAAA
ensembl:lncRNA